AGUGUAGUUCGUCCAAAGAAAUCUGGACCUGUAACCUGGCUUUUGAUUGGCCAAGAGGUCAGCAGAUUUAGACGGACGUGAUAGAAAGCAGCCUUGUUAACUGCUAAAGAUUUCGAAUGAUUAACACUACGCUCUAUGUAUUUCAAAGCCAAAGACUUUCUGAACUUUACCAACCUUAUUUCGAUUAACACUUGAGCUUCCACAAGCCUCGAAGAGAUCAAUGCAUAAUAGUGAUUACAAGAUAGUCCGUCUUAAAACUACAUUCUUCCAUAUAAUCAAUAAUUGUAAUGUAUUGGCAUGAUAUUAACUGUCUUGUUAGUUUCUUGGCAUAUAUUAACCGCAGUGCUCUAAAUAUUUACAAACUUCAUUAUUUCCCUGUUAACAUUUUCUCAUGGUAAAGAGCCCAUCGAAACAUCACACAAGUGCCUUAUUUUGGGUAAAGAGAUUUCUCUGAUACAAAGCAACGUGCCAAAUCACAACCACUGCUUAGUAUAUAAACCCCCAGUGAAGGAUCCAGCUAACAGGCUGAGGGGGUUUCUGAGCUUUGAACUCUCGCGGAAAUCUGAUUCACGUCAGGUGAUUUAGGGCCCUUCCCUUGUUGGAUCCCCCACUGCACUACACAUACUAUCAACGAUCAGUUUUCAGGGAGCUUGUUUAUUUCUGUGAUAAUAUAAUCAAUCCUUCUAAGGUCCCAACAAUCAUGUUUUAAUUGUUGAUGACGUUGGCAAAUUUACGCCAGGUAAUCAUUCACUAUAAUCGAAGCGUAAUUUUAUGCGCAUGCCUUCAAAGAUCACGUGACUUGCAGGAAAUGACACGUGACCUUUUUUGUUAUCCAUGACAACGUUAGCAGUAUUCUUUUGUAUCCAGAAAAGACUAAACUAUUUUGUUUACUGAAUAAACUCGUGUUUCAUUAUAUAUAUUUAGCCGUUGGUCAAGGUCGCAAAUCCUAUCGUUUCGUUUGAUAGCUUCUCUUGACCGCGUCUGCGUGAAUGAAUUGGGCGGUUGGUGACAUUACAUAGCUUUUUAAAUGUUUUGUCAAAGUUUUGAUUUGUUGUUGAUGACGAUGUACAAUCACAGAGAGAGGAGUGAAUCUCUUGAUGAACAAUGUUUAUACACUCUGUCAUCGAUAUGAUGACACGUUUAUACCAAUAGACUCGUACAAGGACUUAUUUUCAAAUAUUAAACUCAUUAUGUAUAUUC
rnacentral:sRNA from 1 species